rnacentral:rRNA from 1 species
CCUACGGGAGGCAGCAGUGGGGGAAUCUUGCGCAAUGGGCGAAAGCCUGACGCAGCCAUGCCGCGUGAAUGAUGAAGGUCUUAGGAUUGUAAAAUUCUUUCACCGGGGACGAUAAUGACGGUACCCGGAGAAGAAGCCCCGGCUAACUUCGUGCCAGCAGCCGCGGUAAUACGAAGGGGGGCUAGCGUUGCUCGGAAUUACUGGGCGUAAAGGGAGCGUAGGCGGAUAGUUUAGUCAGAGGUGAAAGCCCAGGGCUCAACCUUGGAAUUGCCUUUGAUACUGGCUAUCUUGAGUAUGGGAGAGGUUAGCGGAACUCCGAGUGUAGAGGUGAAAUUCGUAGAUAUUCGGAAGAACACCAGUGGCGAAGGCGGCUAACUGGCCCAUUACUGACGCUGAGGCUCGAAAGCGUGGGGAGCAAACAGGAUUAGAUACCCUGGUAGUCCACGCCGUAAACGAUGAGUGCUAGUUGUCGGCAUGCAUGCAUGUCGGUGACGCAGCUAACGCAUUAAGCACUCCGCCUGGGGAGUACGGUCGCAAGAUUAAAACCUCAAAGGAAUUGACGG